GAUGAAGAACGCAGCGAAACGCGAUAAGUAAUGUGAAUUGCAGAAUCCAGUGAAUCAUCGAAUCUUUGAACGCACAUUGCGCCCCUUGGUAUCCCGAGGGGCAUGCCUGUUCGAGCGUCAUUUCACCACUCAAGCCUGGCUUGGUGUUGGGCGACGUCCCCUUUGGGGACGCGCCUCGAAACGCUCGGCGGCGUGGCACCGGCUUUAAGCGUAGCAGAAUCUUUCGCUUUGGAAGUCGGGGCCCCGUCUGCCGGAAGACCUACUCGCAAGGUUGACCUCGGAUCAGGCAGGGAUACCCGCUGAACUUAAGCAUAUCAAUAAGCGGAGGA
rnacentral:misc_RNA from 1 species